ACGUAAGGUCGGCGGAGAAUGCGCGGGUCGAGUGCUGUAGUUCGGUUUUUGCGUGUGUGCGUUGCUUGCGGCCUUUGUGCCUUUUUAUUCUUUGCUUACCUUUAUGAUAUAAAGACCUUAUUUCUUACAAGGAGGAAAAGACCGCUGACUUCAGAAACAGCGGGAACCCCAGCUCGUCCCCGGUAAGACGGCCGUGGCCUGUCAGCUGGAACGGUCCUGCCGGAUGGAUCGCUCUUUGAGAGCGUACACUCCCGCGUGCGCGACACCAGGCGGCCCGUAGGUUCCAGGUGCCGAGCACGCUACCUCCUCAAUUUACCUAAGUGCCCUACCAGUAUCAUAUUCUGUGUAUGCUGUGAUGUGAACGAGGUUUGUAAACACAGGCUGGUCUAAUGGAGCCCAAUGAGACCACCAGAGGAUUAGUGUCUUGUCCAACAGUACUCGAUUUGCUGGUAGAGCCCUAAUGACUCAGGGCUGCCCACAAGGGAAAGGUAAUUCAAGAGGAAACGCUUGAGCAAUUACUGAUGUUGUAAACUGGGAUCAGAAGACAUACAUGGUAUCGUAUCCCAGGCCAGGCACAGUGGCUCACACCUGUAAUCCCAGCACUUUGGGAGGCUGAAGAAGGCAGAUCACUUGAGGUCAGGAGUUCGAGACCAGCCUGGCUUACGUGGUGAAACCCAUCUCUACUAAACAUACAAAAAUUAGCUGGACAUGGUGAUGGAGUCUCGCUCUGUUGCCCAGGCUGGAGUGCAGUGGCGUGAUCUCUGCUCACGGCAACAUCUGCCUCCCAGGUUCAAGUGAUUUCUCCUGUCUCAGCCUCCUGAGUAGCUGGGAUUACAGCAUUCCCAGUUUACAGCUGAGGAAAUUAAGCUUCAAGUUGCCCAAGUUUAUAGAAUGAGUCAAUGGCAGAGGUUGAACUCAGAUGACAAAAUUGGGGUCUGGACGUGUGCAAGGACUUUUCCAAAGUCAGCUGGAAAGGAGCUGCUUAGCUGAGAGGUUCUGGCUCCAAAGUCUCCUGUGAAGUUGCAGUCAAGAUGUCUGCUGGGACCCCAGUCAUUUGAAGCCCUGUCUGGGGCAGGAGAAUCUAGGUCCAAAAUGGCCAUUGCAGGAGUCCUUAUCCACACCAUGUGGGGCCUCUUCAUAGAUGUUCAAGUGUCCUCAUGGCAUGGCCACUGGCUUUCCCCAAAGUAAGCAGUCCAAAAGAGGGUAAGACAGAGCCCACACUGUCUUUUAUGAAUUAGCCUUGGAAGUCUAACACGGUUACUUCCACCACAUUCAUUAGUCGUUAGGUACAGCUCACAUUCAUGGGGAGGAAAAUCAGGGCCUGUCUUUAGAUAGGAGAUGUAUCAAAGAAUUUGUGGACAUAUUUUAAAAUCACAGCACUACUCUUGAUGUACUAAGUCAGUGACUCCCCCAGGAGUCUCACAGAGAAUUGACUCCUUGCCCACCUAUACUACCUUUGUGGGUAGAGACUCCAGUAGUGUGCUGGUUAAUGUUCAACCAGUGGCUUUCUAGAAAACAAAAUGUAUGGAUACAUAUAUAUGUUCUAAGUUUUACUGAUACGAAGAAUGUGUAGCACAGAAUUUAUAAAUAAUAAAAUAUAAAGUAUUAUUUAUUGUAAAUUCCAUAAAACCUGUUGUUUUUCACAAAAGGUUUUAGUUUAUUUUUCCCAAAUGCUUGUAUCGGUAACAUUUUCUGUAUUACUUUUUUAUGUCCAGACAAUCAACAAAACUGAAAAAGCCCAGCCUUGUAGCAUUUGCCAGUUAUUGUGUAAAUGUCCCCACCAUGGUGGAUUUCAGGUUACCACUAUGAUAUCACAGAAUGCAGAAUUGGAAGGAGAUUCACAGCAGCACCCCAUUAUACUAUAUUUUCACCAUACAGAUGCAGUCGAUGUAAAUUACCUGAGGAGCAUAAAUAAUAAUAAAAUGAAGUUAAAUAAUUCGGAAAUGA